UCUGCGCAGCGCCUCUCCUUCACAGGAGAGGCGCUGUGCAGAGAGGGAGAGGGCGCAGCGCCCCUUCAGCGAAGCUGGAGAAGGAACAGAAGGAGACUCUUCUGUUCCUCCUCAGGCUUCGCUGGACAGGCGCGUCGCUCAAGGGGCGCUAUGCCUUCUCUCUCUCUCUGCGCAGCGCCUCUCCUUCACAGAAGAGGUGCUGCACAG